rnacentral:tRNA from 1 species
GCCUGGCUGGCUCAGCCUGUGGAGCAUGUGACUCUUGAUCUCAGGGUUGUGAGUUCAAGCCCCACAUUGGGCA